rnacentral:lncRNA from 1 species
CGCAGCCGCGCCGCCGCCGGGCACCACGGGGCUCGUAGUCCGGGCUGGGCCCCCGCUGGGGAGCGCGGAGGAAGGAGGAGGAGGAGGGCAGCAGAGGUAAACACCGACGAGCACACAGAGUUCCAGAUGCCGAUCCUCAGAGAGUCCAUGUGUAACAGAAAGGAUGGAUAAUCUUUUCGCUCAGCUCCAGCCUGGUGGAGCCUGCAUGUGGUUGUUUCAGGCUAAUGUACAAAAAGGGUCCUGCAUUUAUUCUGCCAGAUGACUUCUCCAGUGCUGUUUGGAUGUGCCUGCUGCUCCUAAAGCCUUGAUUUGACAGCAGCCUCUGGCAUGCUGUGGGCCACCAGAUCUGCAUAGCAACAGACCCGCCAGUCUUCCUGCGGAGAGUUAAAGGAAUUUUGGAGAAAAUAAGUGAGUCAAAAAUUUGCCAUUCUCUUCUGUGGCAAUUCCCUGGAUUCAAAGUGUCCCUCGUCUCUGG